UCUGCCUUGUAGUGGGGGAUAACUUGCCGAAAGGUAAGCUAAUACCGCAUACGCCCUAAGGGGGAAAGCAGGGGACUCUUCGGAGCCUUGCGCUAUUAGAUGAGCCUAGGUCGGAUUAGUUAGUUGGUGGGGUAGUGGCUCACCAAGACCGCGAUCCGUAACUGGUCUGAGAGGAUGAUCAGUCACACUGGAACUGAGACACGGUCCAGACUCCUACGGGAGGCAGCAGUGGGGAAUAUUGGACAAUGGGGGGAACCCUGAUCCAGCCAUGCCGCGUGUGUGAAGAAGGCCUUCGGGUUGUAAAGCACUUUAAUUUGGGAGGAAGGGCUUACGGUUAAUAACCGCUAAGUUUUGACGUUACCAAAAGAAUAAGCACCGGCUAACUUCGUGCCAGCAGCCGCGGUAAUACGAAGGGUGCGAGCGUUAAUCGGAAUUACUGGGCGUAAAGCGCGCGUAGGUGGUUCAUUAAGUUAGGAGUGAAAGCCCCGGGCUCAACCUGGGAAUUGCUUCUAAAACUGGUGGGCUAGAGUACGGUAAAGGGUGGUGGAAUUUCCUGUGUAGCGGUGAAAUGCGUAGAUAUAGGAAGGAACAUCAGUGGCGAAGGCGACCACCUG
rnacentral:rRNA from 1 species